rnacentral:rRNA from 1 species
AGAGUUUGAUCCUGGCUCAGAUUGAACGCUGGCGGCAUGCCUAACACAUGCAAGUCGAACGGCAGCACAGCCGUAGCAAUACGGUGGGUGGCGAGUGGCGGACGGGUGAGUAAAGCAUCGGGGCCUACCCAGACGUGGGGGAUAACCUCGGGAAACCGGGACUAAUACCGCAUACGUCCCACGGGAGAAAGCGGGGGACCUUCGGGCCUCGCGCGGUUGGACGGACCGAUGUGCGAUUAGCUAGUUGGUAGGGUAAUGGCCUACCAAGGCGACGAUCGCUAGCUGGUCUGAGAGGAUGAUCAGCCACACUGGGACUGAGACACGGCCCAGACUCCUACGGGAGGCAGCAGUGGGGAAUAUUGGACAAUGGGCGCAAGCCUGAUCCAGCAAUGCCGCGUGUGUGAAGAAGGCCUUCGGGUU